AGAGUUUGAUCCUGGCUCAGGACGAACGCUGGCGGCGUGCUUAACACAUGCAAGUCGAACGAGAAUCACUGGAAGGAGUUUUCGGACAACGGAAGGUGAGGACAGUGGCGGACGGGUGAGUAACGCGUGAGGAACCUGCCUUUCAGAGGGGGACAACAGUUGGAAACGACUGCUAAUACCGCAUGACACAUAGAGAUCGCAUGGUUUUUAUGUCAAAGAUUUAUCGCUGAAAGAUGGCCUCGCGUCUGAUUAGCUAGUUGGUGAGGUAACGGCCCACCAAGGCGACGAUCAGUAGCCGGACUGAGAGGUUGACCGGCCACAUUGGGACUGAGAUACGGCCCAGACUCCUACGGGAGGCAGCAGUGGGGAAUAUUGGGCAAUGGGCGCAAGCCUGACCCAGCAACGCCGCGUGAAGGAAGAAGGCUUUCGGGUUGUAAACUUCUUUUGUCAGGGACGAGUAGAAGACGGUACCUGGCGAAUAAGCCACGGCUAACUACGUGCCAGCAGCCGCGGUAAUACGUAGGUGGCAAGCGUUGUCCGGAUUUACUGGGUGUAAAGGGCGUGUAGCCGGGAAGGCAAGUCAGAUGUGAAAUCCACGGGCUUAACUCGUGAACUGCAUUUGAAACUACUUUUCUUGAGUAUCGGAGAGGCAAUCGGAAUUCCUAGUGUAGCGGUGAAAUGCGUAGAUAUUAGGAGGAACACCAGUGGCGAAGGCGGAUUGCUGGACGACAACUGACGGUGAGGCGCGAAAGCGUGGGGAGCAAACAGGAUUAGAUACCCUGGUAGUCCACGCUGUAAACGAUGAAUACUAGGUGUGCGGGGACUGACCCCCUGCGUGCCGCAGUUAACACAAUAAGUAUUCCACCUGGGGAGUACGAUCGCAAGGUUGAAACUCAAAGGAAUUGACGGGGGCCCGCACAAGCGGUGGAUUAUGUGGUUUAAUUCGA
rnacentral:rRNA from 1 species